AAUAAGUUUGAUUCUUGCUUAUUUAUUAAUUUAUUAGUUAAUUUAUAUGUUAAUUAUUAAAUACUUAUUUUUGCAGUAAAUAUAAUUGUCUAUUAAUUAUUAUUCAUUUGCAGUAAACUAAUUAUAAUAGAUAAAUAUUGUGCCAGCAUUCGCGGUUAUACAAUUUAUUAAAAUUAAUAUUUUAUUUAUUGUAAUUAUUUAGUUAAUUGAUUUUUAAAUAAGUUUUAUUUAGGUGGAAUUUAUAAUUUUUAUAAAAUCUAUAUUAAAGCUUAUUAAAUCAGUAUUUUAAACUAGGAUUAGAUACCCUAUUAUUAUUGUAUUUAAAUUUAUUUAAAUGAAUAUUAUUAGCUAUGUUCUAAAAAACUCAAAGAAUUUGGCGGUGAAUUAUAUCUUUUUAGAGGAACCUGUUUUUUAAUUGAUAAUCCACGAUAUUUUUUACCUAAAUUUUAUUUGUAUACCUCUAUAUUUGAAUGUUAUUUAAAUAUAUUUUAUUUAAUUUUAUUAAAUUAUUUUAGGUCAAGGUGCAGUUUUAUUUAGGUAGACAUGUGUUACUUUAAUAAUAAAUUUACUUAUUAAUUUUUAUCUAUAUUUAUGAUUUAAUUAAAAUAGGAUUUAAUAGUAAUUUUAUAUAAUUAUUUAUUUUGAAUUGAGUUUUAAUUCAUGUACAUAUCGCCCGUCGCUCUCUUUAAAAUGAGAUAAGUCGUAACAAAGUAGGUGUACCGGAAGGUGUAGCUAGAUAGUU
rnacentral:ncRNA from 1 species